GACGAAGACGUUCGUCACCGUAGAAGUCAGCUGGUUUCAUAACUACGGAUA
ncrna:Listeria monocytogenes EGD mcrA RNA